rnacentral:rRNA from 1 species
UACGAUGGAGACAAGUGUUAGUCAUCUUUAUUAGGUAUAAAGGGUACCUAGACGGUAAAUAAUAGCCCCGUGUAUAUUGAAAGGGUACUUUUUUACUAGAGUUAUAUAGGAGAGGUAAAUAUUAGAACUAUAGGAGUAGUGAUGAAAUACUUUGAUACUUAUGGGACUGGAAAAGGCGAAAGCAAACCUCUAUCUUUUUUAAAAAGUUUAGUAAA